UAUUAAAAAUUUCAUCCUUUUUUUACUGUUAAAAACUGACGUGAUUAACAGAAUAACCAGAUAGUGAUGCUUGGCAUGCCAUGUGUACCUCAUGUUGACGUGUAUAGACUAAUUUCAAACAACAGAAUUAGAUGGAAAUUUUAACA
rnacentral:pre_miRNA from 1 species